GUACACGCUGUGACUAGCAUAUCAAUAAGCGGAGGAAAAGAAACUAACAAGGAUUCCCCUAGUAACGGCGAGUGAAGCGGGAAGAGCUCAAAUUUGAAAUCUUAAAGGGUUUCCCUUUACGAAUUGUAGUUUAAAGAAGUGUUUUCUGUUGAGGUUUUGGUAAAAGUUCUUUGGAAUAGGACAUCAUAGAGGGUGAGAAUCCCGUAUUUGACCUUUACUUUCAACUUUGUGAUACACUUUCAAAGAGUCGGAUUGUUUGGGAAUGCAGUCCAAAAUGGGUGGUAAAUUUCAUCUAAAGCUAAAUAUUGGCGAGAGACCGAUAGCGAACAAGUACCGUGAGGGAAAGAUGAAAAGAACUUUGAAAAGGAGAGUUAAACAGUACGUGAAAUUGUCAAAAGGGAAGCGUUUGACACCAGUGUUGUUUUUCUGAAAAUCGAUUAAAGAACUGUUUAUGCUAAGCUGUUUAGACUUUAUCAGCUAAUCUGUUUAGUUUUGAGCUUUUCUUUAAUGCACUUUUCAGUUAACAAGUCAACAUCAAUUUCUUUUGCUGUAAAAAAGCUUGAGGAAGGUGGCUUGAGAUUCGUCUUAAGUGUUUAUAGCCUCUUGCCUAUGCAGUCGGAGAGAUUGAGGUCUGCAGCGUAGAUCCUUCGGGGCUAAAUGCAUUUGUGCUAAGUUAUAGCAUUUUAUAGACAACUUGUUGACUAUGAUUUGUCUUGUAGCUUACUCGCUUAUGUUAUUUUACCUACGCUUAGGAUGUUGAAGAUGUAGCACAUCAU
rnacentral:rRNA from 1 species